UCUCUCUCUCUCUCUCGCUCUCCCUUGCCCUCUCCCUCUCCCUCCUCUCCCUCCCUCCCUCCCUCCCUCUCUCUCUCUCUCUCUCUCUCUCUCUCUCCCUCCCUUCCUCCCUCCCUCUCUCUCCCUCUCUCUCCCUCUCUCUUGUGGAUUCUGUUACUCGUGUUUGUAUGAUACAGCUAGCUUGUUGGAUUGUUAAUUGGUACUGAGAUUAGAGAGGAUUGAAUUUGUUCACUUUUAGGGGAAAUGAUUAAUUUCGGGAACAAGUGUAACUAUUACUAAUAUCUUGGAAUGUUUUGGUAUUCUAGGGCUACUUUUUUUAUACUGUUGAGCUAUUUGUAGAACUGCUUAAUUUAGUAAAUUAUGUCAACUAUAUGGGGACUUGAUGCUCUCUUCUUUUAAAUUGUGAGAUGGAGUUGGAAAUAUGUUGUAGCUCAUUUUAAUGCCCCAGCCCACAACUUGUCCUUGUUACGGCCUCAAACUUACUGAACCUCACUGACAUGGGUCAUGGGAUGUUACACUCGUUCUGUUAGGUUCUUUUGUAAAUAGUAAAUAGUUUCAUGGUUUGUUUAUGAGAAGUUAUGAAUGAAGCUUUUACCUUAUAAAUUCUAACUCACAUGUUGGCCUUACCCCUCAAUCAACAGGAUCAAUCCCAAAUCAUGUAGUGGAAACAAUAAAUGAACAGAGCAAGUAACAACUGCUUGUAGGGCUUGUUUGCAACAGUGAGUGUAGAUUAACCAAAUUGAAAUUCAUAUAAUCUACCUGCCUGACCUUAAAAUUCAUAUGGUGUCCUACAAGUGUUUUUUAAGUUAAGUAGGUCUGAUAUCAAACUAAAAGGAGUGCUGUUAACAACUACUUUGAUUAAGUUUAGUGAAAAAUGCUUUUUACUGCUCUCAUUGGGCAGACCAGAGGUGGGACUUUUAUGAUAUUCCUUCAUAAGCUUGGGUAUUAAUAUAUUCUACAUAUCAUAACAGUAGCUUUGUACAGCAUAUUAAUUUCAUAUAUGACAUAGUCACAUAGCCAACACUGCAGUUAGUGUUUGCUCAUUUUGAUAAUGAGUAUGCACUUUCUUGCUGAAAAGUAUAUUUGGAAUUGCUAUGAUCUGAUCCCAUACUGUCCGUUUAAAUUCUUGCUUUAAGAGCUUGAGGUUUCUUGUUAACAUCAGCUAUCUCUCGGUGAUUAAUAAGUGCUAAAAGGUAAAAUUACAAAUUUGACCUUAAAGUAUAUCUCAUAUUUAUAUAAAAUGGAGCGGUUGUUAGGUAAUUUGGUUGAUAUUUAAUUCUUCCCUCAACUGUUGCUAAAGUUUGUUUCAUUUCAUGUCACCUGGGUUGACUUGUUCGGUCUUUCACAAAUUCAUUAUCUUUUACGAAGACUCCUCCAUCUACUCUUACUCUACUCCUAUCUGUCAGUUAGGUGCUUGCAUAUUGCGCACAUCUGCUGUAAGUCUGUUGUAAUGGAGUUGUGUGGUUGUUGCACCUGGUGCCAGGUUGAUUAAUCAAAAACUUGAUUUCUUCCUACUCUAUUUCUGUUGGAGGCAUGCCAAGAAUUUCAUAUUCUGUUGAGCCAUCAGCUUCAGGUACAACACCAGGUUCUUGUUGCAGAAGGUUGAGUUUCUCACGUAAAGAUUGAAUCUCUUGGUCCUUUUUUCUAACAGAACUUCUCGUAUCUCAUAACUGCAAUGUUGGUUCAGAAAAAGUUUUUAUUUUUCUUCUUAUCAAUCAAGCUCUUCUUCACUUCCUUAUAGUUCCUGAGAAUUGCUGUGUUUUCCACCUGUAGAUUCCUUUCUUUAUCUUCCAAUCCAUUCAAGGGCAUCUGCUGCCAGUUCAGCUCAUCUUUAAAUUCUUGAAGUUCUUUUGUUCUGUGUCAGGAGGUCUCCCUGUAAUUUCUGGAUUGACAGCCCCCCUGGAGACUGGACUUGCUUCAGAUUAACUAUAGGAUUGUGGCCCUCCUUUUGGAUUUUCGAUUGCUCAUUCAAUCAGAGUCCGUUUAUUAUUAUUUUCUUUUUCUUCCAUUGUUGAACUGCUAAUAAUACCCUUAGACUUGUCCCCUUUACCAGUUUUUUUUAAACUAGAAGUGAUGUUUUAUCUGGUAGUGAUCCUAGCGGGUUAGCCUUUUAAUUUGAUCAGAAUUUAGAGACGGACUUUGUUUAAACGGUCCGAGGUUCA